GCAGUGGUCCCGCCUUUUUCCUCUCAUUGGCUGAGAUUCUCAGCGCGUCACACCGGCGACCAGGUUGUGCCCGCCCUCCCAGCAGAGAGGGAAUCAAAGCGCAGGAAAAGGCGCGUGUGUGCAGGUAUAGAGAUCUAGUCUGGGUCAGGGCUAUGGAAGGUGUGGAAACCCUGUUUCCUUGGUUACCUGAGAGGGCGGAGUAACAGCUCUGGUUGACCAGGCAGGUUAGGCAGGUCGGGAUUCCCUUGCCAGGGUGAUAUCCCGCCUUGGACCACAGAGCUGAGAGUCCUUUUGUUGCACUGUGACACUUUACCCAACACCCAUCUCCCCAGCUGCAGAGACCAGAUCUGCCAGGUAAAAAUAUUUAGAAUGUCCUUUUUCUGACAGGAUUGCACUCAGCCUGGUACUUCCUCUUGCCUAUACUGGCCUUGAAGUUGUGUUACUUGACAGGGUAGAGUGGCUCAGAACUGAAACUUCUACAUUGCAGAAUUAGAGACAGGAAGAAGAGGAUCGUGCUCAAGGUAAUCUUUAGCUACAAGGUGGCCUGUUGGGAUUUAAGAGACCUUGAUGAAAACAGAAAUGUUCACAGCAUAGCAUUACACUAAAGGAGGAACAGAGGCAGCAAGAUCAAGAGGAAGACAAAGGUAGCCUGGGCUUUCAUUCUAUCCCGAGUGGUAUUCUCUCUGAAUUUUAGGUUUGACUGUGUGAACACUAAAACCAGCAUAGCAACACUAUUCCAAAAGAGGAAAAAAAA
rnacentral:sRNA from 1 species